GAUGAACGCUGGCGGCGUGCCUAAUACAUGCCAGUCGAGCGAACGGACGAGAAGCUUGCUUCUCUGAUGUUAGCGGCGGACGGGUGAGUAACACGUGGAUAACCUACCUAUAAGACUGGGAUAACUUCGGGAAACCGGAGCUAAUACCGGAUGAUAUUUUGAACCGCAUGGUUCAAAAGUGAAAGACGGUCUUGCUGUCACUUAUAGAUGGUUCCGCGCUGCAUUAGCUAGUUGGUAAGGUAACGGCUUACCAAGGCAACGAUGCAUAGCCGACCUGAGAGGGUGAUCGGCCACACUGGAACUGAGACACGGUCCAGACUCCUACGGGAGGCAGCAGUAGGGAAUCUUCCGCAAUGGGCGAAAGCCUGACGGAGCAACGCCGCGUGAGUGAUGAAGGUCUUCGGAUCGUAAAACUCUGUUAUUAGGGAAGAACAUAUGUGUAAGUAACUGUGCACAUCUUGACGGUACCUAAUCAGAAAGCCACGGCUAACUACGUG
rnacentral:rRNA from 1 species